AUGUUAUUCAGUCCAUCAUACUCCAAUUCUUCACAUUCAUCUUACCUUCCCUUUUCUCCCAUUUCCUCUAACCUUCCCUGGUCUUCCUUCCUGGUGACACUCUUUUUUGUUUUUUUUUUUUUUGAGACGGAGUUUCACUCUUGUUACCCAGGCUGGAGUGCAAUGGCGCGAUCUCGGCUCACCGCAACCUCCGCCUCCCGGGUUCAAGCGAUUCUCCUGCCUUAGCCUCCCAAGUAGCUGAGAUCACAACUGCCCACCACCAUAUCCAGCUAAUUUUAUAUAUUUUUAGUAAAGAUGGGGUUUUGUCAUGUUGGCCAGGCUGGUCUCAAACUCCUGACCUCGGGUAAUCUACCUGCCUCAGCCUCUCAAAUUGCUAGAAUUACAAAUGUGAGUCACGGUGCCCGGCCUUUAUAAUCAGUGCUUGUUUAGACGUAGUCACAAAUUUUCUACUUUGCUUUUGUUUCUUGCAGUUACAUUUGAGAAGAAUUUUCUUCUUCCUUAAAUAUAUCCUUAAGAAAUAUUUUAAAGAGAGUUAUUGCUGGUAAAUUCCUUAAGUUUUGUUCAUCUGAAAAUUUCUCUGUUCUGCUCUUGUUUUUCAGAGAGACAUGUAAUGUAUGUAGAAUUCUAGGCCAACAGUUACUUUCUCUCAAUAAAUUGUUCUACCUUCUGUGGUUGCUUCUGGAAAAUUAACUCUUCCUGUAUCACUACUUUGGAAGCAGCCUAUCAUUUCUGCUUGCCUGAUUUUAAAAUGCUUUUUUCUUUAUUGCUGUUUAUAAUGUUCUAGACUUUUUUAAAGUCCUACUUGUGAUUUAUUGGGCUUAAAAAAUGUGGAAUGGUCUUUUAUUUCUGCUGGAAAAUUCACAGCCUAAACUCAUUGCAAUAUUGCUUCAGUUCCUCCUUGCUCCCCUCUUAGAACCUUGAUGAACAUGUAUGUUGGGUCAUCUUACUCCAAUAUCAGUGUCUCCUUGCUUCCCUUUUAAAUAUUCCAUCGCAUUGCUUCAUAGUAAUUCCAGAUAAUUUCUUCAGAACCAUAUUCUACUUUACUAGUUUUUUAUUCUUCUCUAAUAUGCUGCAGACUCCUGUGCUAUUUAAACUGUUGUCAAUAUGGUCAUUGAUUCUAUUUCCUUAUUCAAUAUACAAGUUUUUAAACUUAUUUUUUUCUUUAAGCAUAUUAAUUUUAUAAUUUGGAUCUGAUUAUUUUAUUACAUGUGAUAUAAAACUUUGUUUGCCAUUCUUUAAUGGUUCUUAUUCACAGUACCUCAUUUCCUAGUAAAUUUAGUCCACUUUCAUAAGCUUAUUUUUCUUAGAGUUUUAUGCAUGAAAAUUAUCUGAGACCUGGGAAAAGGCGAAUACUGCAGAGUUCGAUUGGCUUUGAUCUGCCAAGUGUUGCCAAUAUUGAACGACUCUGAUUUGAAUAUGUGGCUGUGUUUCUUUUGAACCAGAUGGUAAGGUUAUAGAUUGAAAAUCUGGGCAAGUACUAUGUUAUGUUUCUCAAUUCUCACUCUGUCAUUUUUCAUUUGGAGCUCAUUUCAUUGUUAUUAAAAAACAAUUGAUUCUUCAGUACACUAAGAAAGAUUUUAUUGGUUUUGUUUUGGCUCAUCCUUAUACUGAAGAGGUCAUAAUAACCCUGAGGAUCUAGUUUUGCCAGAGAAAUCUACUUGGUUUCCUGCCUUUGGUAGACGCUAGGUUUGGUCUCUAUCACUCCAUGAAUCCAUGAAAGCCAAAAUGCAGGUUUACAUGGUUUGGCAAUUGUCCUUAGACUGAAUGCUUGCUGCAGAGCACUAAGAAUGGCAAUUAGGUCUUUGAAUUACCAUUCUUUAUCAGUGCCUGAUCUGAGAAUUGCUCUCUUCCCUGAGAGCUUAUUAAUACUUUAAACUUAUUUGUAAUAUCUUACCCAGAACUUCUUAGGAUAUUUCAGCAGGAGGGUUGAUUCAUUAAAUUAGCCUCCUAUAUAACCAACCAACAGGCUCAGUCCUGCUGCUGCCCAUAACACAGUAUCUAUCAAUGCUGAAUAUAUUUGCCUGUGUUUCUUUCUUCCAUAGUAGGCUUGAAGCUUCUCAAAAAUACAGACUGUUUUUCAUUUCAGGGCAGGGUGUGUGUGUGUGUGUGUGUGUGUAAUACAUAUUAAUAUACAAUAAAGGAAUCUUAGUAGAUUCUAUAUGAAAUCCCAUUUUCUUGAUCCUUUAUAGAUUACUUAUAAAGCACAUUGCUAGAAUUAUAACAUGGACAAGAUAGAGAUCUCAACUUGAAAUCUGAUUAACUGAGAAACAAAAGUUCAGAUACUUUUGAGAGUUUGUGUUCUUUUCUUGUGGCAUGAUCUACAGGGGAAAUUAAUUUUUUAUGUAAUUAUUAAAUUUGGUAUAUUACCUCAUUAAAAUUCUUGAGAAAUACAAACCAAUUGCCAUUUCAGCAAAAGAACAAAACAAAGCAAUUUUUUAAAAUCCUGUUAUACAACAUUGACUCCUCAUUUUCUCAUUUUUUAGUGGUCUGUUGCUAUGGAAAUCUUCCCAUACUAUCUGCAGAUAUGAAUCACACACUUGGUAGCACUACAUCUGCAGUGCUGCAGUGAACCAUAUGGAAAAUUUAUGCAGCCAAAGGAGGCAAGUAAAAACUCUCUCCACAGAUGGAUUCAGCGCUUCAAAGGUUGAGACAACUGUUCAAUAGGUUACACUGCCUAUUUCUCAGCAAGACCAAAAUUCAGAAAGGAUUUUUCCUAAAAGACUGGAUACACAGGUCCUGAGCUGUCAAUUGAAAUGGAUAGGCAAAGGGGCUGCUGUGAAUAGAGCUCUAAUAGAAAUCCUCAAGCCUAAACUGGCAAACAUAGUCUCUACCUAUCAGAGGUGUCUGAUCUUCAAUUAAAUCCAGUUCAUCGCUAGUAUUAUAGGAUGCUACUAGUUUAUAAAUUUGUAAUUUUUACCUUUAGCUCUUGAAAAGUAUCAUUGUUUCAUCAGAAUUAUUUCACAUGUGAAAAUUAAAUGAAUAGAUAGAUGGUAUAUCGUCAAUUGGGAAGUUAAUUCUUGAUGUGUCUGAAGUUACAGUUGGUAUGAGCAGAUAUUGGAUCCAAUUUGUAGACCACACAUACAUGCUAUACCUUUAUCUAACUGUUUUAUAUAUAUUAUUUGAUUUUAUUUUUUAACAUUUCUACAAAAAUGUGUUAUUAGCUCCAUCUGACUGAUAAAGACAAUAAAAUUUUAAAAAAAUUGUAUGUCUAUCACUUACAGUCUAUAAAAGUGUUGUGAAAUUUGGGUUUCAUUCAGGUCUAUCUGAUCCUGAUGCUUGUUUUAUUGCCACAAUAAAAAUUUCUAUUUUAGAAGUGUAUGCAUAGAUCAAGCAUCAAGCUAUGCUCUGGAGUCAAAGUGCCUGAUCCAAAUUUUAUCUCUGUCUUUGAUUAUCCAUGUAACUUCAGGAUAUUUACUUAACUACUCUUCUGUUCAGUUUUCUCACCUCUAAAAUGGUAGUAAUAGAAAUACUUACCUAGGAGGAUUCUUGAGAGAACUAAAUGACCUACUGCACAGGACCAAGUAAGUGCCAAAUAAAUCUCAAUAGUGUUAAUUAUUACUAUCAUGUUCAUUCAUUUAUUUUAAAAUAUGGCAAACUAGUUUGAGGUAUAUAAAUAUUGUAAAUUGUUUUCCUUUUCUUUUAGGGCAGCAUGUUUAUUAGGGCAGUAGUUCCUAAACUGUGGUUCCCAAGCUAGUAGCAGCAUUAGUAGCUAGGAAUUUGUUAGAAAAGCAAAUUAUAUGGAACCAAAAGAGAGCCUACAUAGCCAAGACAAUCCUAAGCAAAAAGAACAAAGCCAGAGGCAUCAUGCUACCUGAUUUCAAACUACACUACAAGGCUACAGUAAUCAAUAUAGCAUGGUACUGGUACCAAAACAGAGAUAUAGACCAAUGGAACAGAACAGAGGCCUUGGAGGCAAUGUGACAAAUCUACAACCAUCUGAUCUUUGACAAACCCAACAAAAACAAGCAAUGGGGAAAGGAUUCCCUGUUUAAUAAAUCACAUUGGGAAAACUGGCUAGCAACGUGCAGAAAGCAGAAACUGGACCCCUUCCUGACACUUUACACUAAAACUGCCUCCAGAUGGAUUAAAGACUUAAACAUUAGGCCUAACACCAUAAAAAUCCUAGAUGAAAAUCUAGGCAAAACCAUUCAGGACA
ensembl:lncRNA